rnacentral:lncRNA from 1 species
UGGUUAUGCUACAAACCAAAUAAUAUUUCUUUUAACUGUUUAUACAUUAAUAUUAAAAAAAAAUAAGGAAAUUCUUUAAUAUGACAAAUAUAAACACUGUUGAGCACUUUUUUAUUAAUUUUUUUUUCUUGAAAUCAUAAAUAUGGAACAAGAGUGAAUCAAAUUGUUUUGUGGUUUACAUGCAACUUGCAGACUGGCAAUUGGAUAACACUGAUCUAACCUUUUGGCUAGGAUGUAAAUGCAAAGCAUAUCAUUAUCUUUUUGCACUGACAGUUAGCUUCUUGGGACUCCUGUCAGUGAAGUGCUACAAUGUGUCAGCUUUAUUCCCAAACAGCAUCACUAAAAUCUGAUACAUUAUAAAACUACAAGCUAACCAAUGCCAUAUGUCAGGGGUGGCCAACAAGUUCGAUUGCGAUCAACCGGUCGAUCAUGAAGCCAAUUUUGGUCGAUCGCUUGCAAUGUCUUGAAUUAAUGUGUUACACUUGUAACCGAACGUAACGCGCAAACGCAAAUGUAGUGAUAUUGGACCAUCGCGUCUUCCCUCAGAUGCGGUUUUGUCGGUCCAUGUGAUAUUCAUUUGCGUACAGUUGUAAAAGGGAAAUAAGAAAUGUAGACAAAGGAUCGUAAAACCAAAAAAAAAAAAUGGGAAGAGGGACAGAGGGAGUAGUCGGGACACGGUAGAAAGAGGAAGGGUGAAGUGGUGGACCCCAAAAGUUGAGUUUCAAUUUUUAUUCUGUUUACAAUGUACCUUUUCUUCAUGUUUUAAAUUAAAUUGUGGCUUUUCUUACCUAUCUAAACAUAGUAUGCAUUUCACACCAUCCCCUCGUCACUUAGACUAAUCCUACGACAACAAGUCGAUCGCGACACAUUUUUAAGAUAAAAAGUAGAUCUUCUGUACAUAAAAGUUGGCCACCCCUGCUAUACAGGGUUAAGUAUAACUUGUUUACUUAAACUUUCUUUUUAACUAGAACUUGUUAUAUUGAAGGGAGGGAACCUACAUAAUCAGUGAGACAACAAAUUGUAUUAAAAAUUCUUUAUUGCAACAUUAACCUGUGUUAAAAUAUGUAUCUUAUAUUUUGAAUGUUUGGUUGACUUACCCUGUUGUCUCUUUUAAUCCUCUGUUUUUAAUUUCUUUAUCCUAUACCUCUUAUAAUUUAUUGCAGAUUUUAAUGUCAUAUUCAUGAUUUUAGACACAUCAUGCCAUUGAAUCACAUCUGUUGUACUCUUUGGUAACAACAUAGUAGAAUUUAUCAUUAUAUGUUGCGAGCCUUCUGUACAUUAUAGCAAAAGAAACGGCGAUUCCUAAUAAUACUAGCUUUUUGAAUAUAAUAAUAGAAUUAAUACAAGGAGAGAAAUUAUCUUCAUUUGAGAAACUGCAGAGUUUUAAUAAAGAUGCAGAUGGCAUGAUCAGAAUUCAACAUCUAUUUGUAGAAGAAAAUUAUAAUGUCUUUGAUCAUUAUUUGGCUUGUGACUUUGCAUUAGAAAGUCUCUUAAAAUUUGUUGCCAAAGCUCAAGAUGAUUGGUAUAAAAAGAAAUUUCGGCAUCUUGGUGGUCUGGAUAUUGUCGUUGAUAUAGGUAAGCAAAAUGGAAUUAGAAAAGAUAAUUAGAACCAGAUGGAAAUUGGUUACUAUGCUGAUAGACUAGCAUUCAAUUUUAGGUUGCUUCUCAGACAAAGAUGGCAAAUGCAAUCCUGGUUUAUCUGAAAGACCUUUAAAAGAUAUGUUGACAUGCAAAUAUUCAGGAGCCAUCACUGAAUGGG